rnacentral:pre_miRNA from 1 species
CAUGUACUCCCUCCGUUCCAAAUUACUCAUCGCAGAAAUGGAUGCAUCUAGAACUAAAAUACAUCUAGAUACAUCCAUACCUGCGACAAGUAAUUCGGAACGGAGGGAGUAUAUC